rnacentral:rRNA from 1 species
CCUACGGGUGGCAGCAGUGGGGAAUAUUGCGCAAUGGGCGAAAGCCUGACGCAGCCACGCCGCGUGAAGGAAGAAGGCUCUCGGGUUGUACACUUCUUUUAUCAGGGACGAAGCAAGUGACGGUACCUGAUGAAUAAGCCACGGCUAACUACGUGCCAGCAGCCGCGGUAAUACGUAGGUGGCAAGCGUUAUCAGGAUUUACUGGGGGUAAAGGGAGCGUAGACGGCCAUACAAGUCGGAAGUGAAAUACCCGGGCUCAACCUGGGAACUGCUUUGGAAACUGUAUGGCUGGAGUGCUGGAGAGGUAAGCGGAAUUCCUAGUGUAGCGGUGAAAUGCGUAGAUAUUAGGAGGAACACCAGUGGCGAAGGCGGCUUACUGGACAGUAACUGACGUUGAGGCUCGAAAGCGUGGGGAGCAAACAGGAUUAGAUACCCCAGUAGUC